rnacentral:rRNA from 1 species
ACCAAGGCUAAGACGGGUAGCUGGUCUGAGAGGACGACCAGCCACACUGGAACUGAGACACGGUCCAGACACCUACGGGUGGCAGCAGUCGAGAAUUUUUCACAAUGGGCGAAAGCCUGAUGGAGCGACGCCGCGUGGGGGAUGAAGGGCUUCGGCUCGUAAACCCCUGUCAUUCGCGAACAAAGGUGCCGGCCUAAUAUGCCGUCGUCUGAUAGUAGCGGAAGAGGAAGGGACGGCUAACUCUGUGCCAGCAGCCGCGGUAAUACAGAGGUCCCAAGCGUUGUUCGGAUUCACUGGGGCGUAAAGGGUGCGUAGGUGGCAGGCUAAGUCGGGUGUGAAAUCUCCGGGCUCAACCCGGAGGGUGCGCUCGAAACUGGUUUGCUAGAGGAUGGGAGGGGAGACUGGAAUUCUCGGUGUAGCAGUGAAAUGCGUAGAUAUCGAGAGGAACACCGGUGGCGAAG